GUGAUACAUGGAAAACAAUAAUUUUAUUAACAAAAAGUUUGUUAUUGUUGUAUUUAAAGAUGAAAAUGAAAACAGAGGAAAAUGUUCAAUAGAAGUUAUACCAUCUUGCUGGCUUAUUGGAGCUGAUAUGUGUUAUUGGCCACCAAAACGCCCUAGUUUAUCCAGAAUUGGACAUUAUAUUGAAAAAUGUGCCAAAUCUGAAAUCAACUGGCAAAGGUUUUCCAUAAAGAUUCUUUCAAGCACAGACAACCUUAAAUCUGCCAAUGAACUUGCAGAAAAACUCCUAUACACAUCAAAUGUAGAAACAGAGGAUAGUGAGUUUGAAACAGAGCAUUGUACAAAAAAAGAAAACUUCUUGAUGCAGAAAGUGAUGGUGAUAUGCAGUGUCUGCAGAAAUGUUUGGUUUAAAAAAAAGUACUAAAAAAUCUAAAUUUACACCUUCAGUAUUUAAUCCAGUUAUCAUGUCUAAAACGCCAGACAGACUCGAUGUACCAGCUGCUGAAAUAACAGAAGUUCCAACAAGAAUCACAAAUUGAUUUUGCAGUUAAUAAAGCGAAACUGAUCAGCCUGCUUUUGCGAUGAGAUUUUCGGCAUUUGAAAAGUCAUGCUUAGAUCUUUUAAAUGGUGUUCGUUAUGGUAUUAAAAAGAUAAGAAAUCGUUUAGAUAACAUUGAAAAUAGGCUGUAAAACUUUUAAAGAACCUGCUAUUGACCAAACCAUGUAAGCAGCGUCAACUGCACUCCAAACACAAUGGCAUAAUAUAUUGCCUAAUUAAGCGAAAUAGACUUAGAAACAUAGAAAUGAUGAUAGCAGAAAAAACUGUCAGUGAUUUUUUGGUUUGUCAUCUUGCUUCGUUGGGCGGCGAAAACUAUAAAAGCAUGACAACGGAUGUAAUUAAGUCCAUGUUUUCUAAACAAUUGCUGUUAGACGGAGGUUUCCUAAAGCAACUGAAAAACAGAUAAGAGAAAGAAUUUGUUUGUCUUCUCGAGACUGGGAUGGUGAUGGUCUGAUGGUGAUGGAUGGUGAUGGGUGAUGGAUGAUAAAAUUCGAUCAUUAACUCUGCCUACUGAGCCAAUAUCGUCGCAACAGCACCUUUGAUAAUCUUAAUUAAAUGGACAAUAAAUAAAAGUAUCUUGUGCAAAA